AGGUUUGGUGAAUGGACCAACGGGACCGUCAAGACUGCCUUGAUUGGUACCAGGAAGUGUGGGAGAACAACCUGAAGGUGAGACUGAACAUUGACAAGUUGCAAGAGAAACAGAAGGACAGCUACCGGAGCAGAAUCAAUAAGGGGACCAAGUGUUAUGACAUCCGGUUGACUUACUCGGUUUGGAAGAAGGACGAAAGAAAGGCGAGACCUGGGAAUACCUCGCUGCUCUUUCGCUCCUAGUUGGGGUCACCAUCUGUUAAGGAUUACCUCGGUGGAAGCCAACAAUCUACUCCAGCUUGAGCAGUUGGACGGUCGACCACUGAAUGCACUGACGCCCUUACACUUCAGUGAAGCCCAAUAGACAAAGUAUGAUCAUCUUUGGUUGAUAUCUGAAAAAGCAAGAAAGUGUAUAUAUGCUGAGCAGGAGGUAUCCCAUCCAACAGAACCAGUUUGUUCGGAUCAGUCUGAUUCUCUGUGCUCUGAGUCGGUGGGAGACCAGCUUGAGGACCUAGUGGUUCUGUCCAACAGCCAGAUGUGGAUCCACCUGAUGUCCUCAAUUACCAACCACCUUUUCAUUACAUGAACUGUACUCCCUAUUCAGCCACAACUGUGGCCAUGCGCACCCCCAACUCAAUCAUCAAGUUUGCAGAUGACACAACAGUAGUGGGCUUGAUUACAAACAACGACGAGACUGCCUACAGGGAGGAGGUGAUGGCACUUGGAGUGGGGUGUCAGGAAACUCAACUUCAACUAAGGAGAUGAUCGUGGUCUUCAGGAAACAGCAGAGGGAGCACCCCCCCUAUCCACAUCGAAGGGACAGCAGUGGAGAAGGUGGAAAGUUUUAUGUUCCUUCGCGUACACAUCACAGACCAACUGAAAUGGUCCACUCACACAGACAGUGUGGUGAAGAAGGCGCAACAGCGCCUCUUCAACCUCAGGCGGCUGAAGAAAUUUGACAUGUCACCUAAACCCUGACAAUUUUUACAGAUGCACUAUCGAGAACAUCCUGUCAGGCUAUAUCACAGCCUGGUAUGGCAACUGCACAGCCCUCAUCCGCAAGGCUCUCCAGAGGGUGGCACGGUCUGCACAAUGCAUCACCGGGGGCAAACUACCUGCCCUCCAUGACACCUUCAGCACCCGAUGUCCAAAAAAAUCAUCAUGGACAUCAUAUUAGGUCGUUGUUGGGGAAUUGUUAGAUAUUACUGCACUGUCGGCACUAGAAGCACAAGCAUUUUGCUACAUUCGCAUUAACAUCUGCCAACCAUGUGUAUGUGACAAAUACAAUUUGAUUACAUCUACAGCUAGUGUUAUUGUGAAGUCCUUAUCUGUUAAGAAGGUAUUCUUGCACGAUCAUACUG